AACGAACGCUGGCGGCAUGCCUAACACAUGCAAGUCGAACGAGAUCUUCGGGUCUAGUGGCGCACGGCUGCGUGACGCGUGGGAAUCUGCACUCAGGUUACGAAUCACCAUUGGAAACGAUGCCUAAUACCGGAUGAGGACGUUCAGUCCAAAGAUUUCUCGCCUGAGGUUGAGCCUGCGUAGUAUUAGCUAGUUGGUGUGGUAAAGCCGCGCCAAGGCGUCUAGCCUUAGCUGUUCGGAGAGGAUGCUCAGUCACACUGGGAGAGGGACAAGGCCCAUACGGCUGCCAGAGGCAGCAGGGGUGACUAUAGGACAGGGGGCGAAAGCCUGAACCAGCACUGCCGCGUGAGUGAUGAAGGCCUUAGGGUUGGAAAGCGCUUGUACCCGGGAUUAUAAGGACAGAACCGGUAGAAUAAGCCCCGCUUAACACCGG
rnacentral:rRNA from 1 species